rnacentral:rRNA from 2 species
GACGUAGGAGGCGAGCGUUGUCCGGAGUUACUGGGCGUAAAGCGCGCGCAGGCGGCCCUGUGCGCUGCCGGUGAAAGCUCCCGGCUUACCUGGGAGAGGUUCGGCAGGACGGCAGGGCUGGAGGGUGGGAGAGGUCGGUGGAAUUCCCGGUGUAGUGGUGAAAUGCGUAGAGAUCGGGAGGAACACCCGUAGCGAAGGCGGCCGACUGGACCACACCUGACGCUGAGGCGCGAAGGCCAGGGGAGCGAACGGG